rnacentral:rRNA from 1 species
UACGGAGGGUGCAAGCGUUGUCCGGAUUUAUUGGGUUUAAAGGGUGCGUAGGUGGCUGGAAAAGUUUGAUGUGAAAGCUCAGGGCUUAACCCUGAAAUGGCAUUGAAUACUGUCGAGCUGGAGGUUUGGAGGGGGGACUGGAAUUCUUGGUGUAGCAGUGAAAUGCGUAGAUAUCAAGAGGAACACCAGUGGCGAAGGCGGGUCUCUGGGCAACAACUGACGCUGAGGAGCGAAAGCGUGGGGAGCGAACAGG